CGCGUAGGCGGUCUGUUAAGUGUGAAGUGAAAUCUCCAGGGCUCAACCCGGAAACCGCUUCGCAUACUGGCAGACUGGAGGAAGGCAGAGGUAACUGGAAUUCCUGGUGUAGCGGUGAAAUGCGUUGAUAUCAGGAGGAACUCCAAUGGCGAAGGCAGGUUACUGGGCCUUAUCUGACGCUGAGGCGCGAAGCGUGGUAGCAAACA
rnacentral:rRNA from 1 species